GUGUGUGUGCCCGCACGUGUGUGCUGGGGAAAGAGGGUGUCGGUUCAAAAAAGAAAAGGAGAAGCUCAGGGCAGUGAAUCACUUUUUGCCCAGGAAAGCCAACCCGGGAAGUGAAGGAUGGAGAAGUGGCCACAAGCUUCACUACUCAUCUUUUGGCUUCAACUGAGCUGGGUGAGCAGUGAUGACAAGGUGAUACAGAGCCCCCCAUCUCUGGUUGUCCAUGAGGGAACCAGUGCAACUCUCAACUGCAGCUACAAAGUGACUAACUUCCAAAGCCUGAAUUGGUAUAAGCAGGAAGAAAAAGGUCUCGCAUUUCUGUUUGUGCUAAUUUCAACUGGGACUGAGAAGAAGUCAGGAAGAUUCAAAGGCACAUUAGACAAGAAAGAACUUCUCGGGACUCUGCACAUCACAGCCACCGAGCCCGAAGACUCAGCCACCUACCUCUGUGCAGUGGAAGCACUGUGCUCACUAGUCACCUGCAGCCUGUACCCAAAUGCUGCAGCUGAGGCUCCUGCAACUGUUAGAUGGGUUACUUGCUAA